UGAGGAUUUGCAAGUGGAUUUGGUGUGGAUUUUACUGUCCCCAUUGAAGUGAAUAGAAAAAAUCCGGACAGGAAAAAUAAAAUUAAUUGACAUGCUGUGGAUUUUAAAAUCAGCACCGUAGGUCAAAAUCCGUACGGAAAAAAAUCUGUAUCGUGUGCAUGAGAAUUUCAAAUUCUCAUAGAAUACAACAUACAUGACCUAUGGUGCGGAUUUUCUGCACGCAAAUCUGCAUGCAAUCCUGAUCGUGUGCAUUUAGCCUAAGACAUACAUAUUUUU